GCUCCCGUAGCUCAAUUGGAUAGAGCACGUCGGUUCUAACGAUGUGGUUGUGGGUUCGAGUCCCGCCGGGAGCG
rnacentral:tRNA from 1 species